rnacentral:lncRNA from 1 species
UCAGAACAGUACAAAAAGUAUCAUACUUCAUAUAGAGGUAGAAUCCAUUCAUCAUGGCAAAACUUCCUGUCUUCCUUCACUCACUGCUGUCCCAAAGACUGAGUCAUUUUAGCUUAAGUUAUUGUGCUAGCAGUCCAUGUGGAUGUUUUGUUUUUCAAUUAUUCAUUCUGUAUAUGAGUGUUUUGCCUCCAUGUGUGUCUGUGUAUCACAUGCAUGCCAGGUACUGCAGAGGCCAGAAGAGGAUGUGAUCACUUAGGACUGGAGCUUCUGAUGAUUGUGAGCAUCUUGGCCAUUGAAGCAUCUCACUGCCCCCAACAUUUUGAGAUGGUUCUAAACAGAUCAUCUGCCUUUGUGAAAUGGCUGUCCCGACAUAGGCAAUCUAACUGUCUUGUUUUUUUUAUUUUACAGGUUCACGUGCUUUGCAGUUUCAAACUGGCAUGAAGAGAUAAUCUUCUGAAAAAAGUAUUAAUUGAAUUUCACAUAGAUUCCCUUUUGUAAGUCAAUGGCUCUUUUGUGCUUUUUUCUUGUGAAUAUUCAAUGGGACUGAUACAAACACAGCUUAUGAUUGUAUACAAAUCCUUGCCAGCACAUAAAGUCAAACUGGAGUUUGUGUAUAUGAGCAUUGUGUGUCCAUGCACAAUAGUCAUUAAGUCACAUGUUUCUUUGUGGAAUGCUAAUUUAAAAGAUUAAAUUAUAACUAUGACAUGGGUGAAAAGAUUAAGCUUUUUCAAAUGAUGCUGCUAGAAGUGUAGCUUGGAUUGUCCUGUGCUUUUCCUACAAUGCUAAAUGUUUCUGCCUAAUAUAGUUGCUGCUGGUGAUAAAGACAGAACACAUCACUUGUAGACACCUAUUUUUGUAUAAUGGUAGAAGUUUGAACUUUACUUGGUAUUUGGUCAAGUACGGAAAUAAAAAUGACUUCAUCA